GGGGCCGAUCUGGUUUCGACGUGGGUGCGGAGUCGGGAUAGUGCAUGUCGAGCACCAGUUCGCUCGUAAAACCACUGGAAACAAGUAACUGCGAACGACGAACGUUUCGCCCUCGCCGCUUAAACACCGGUGAGCCUCUCAACGGUUGGCCCAUGGGCCGGGCGUGAGCCGCAAGGCAAGCGCUGAGAGGUCAUUCACAUGGGCUGGUUUCCUGAUUGGCCAUGCAUCAGGAGACGAGAUCAAGUGGCUGGUGUCACCGGUAGCGUGCUGCUGCGCGACCGGGGGUACGAGAAUCAAAUCAGUCAGCUAAACAUGUAGAUCUACCUGGCGAUGGCUUGCGGACGGGGGUUCAAUUCCCCCCGGCUCCACCA
rnacentral:tmRNA from 1 species